AACGAACGCUGGCGGCAUGCCUAACACAUGCAAGUCGAACGAGACCUUCGGGUCUAGUGGCGCACGGGUGCGUAACGCGUGGGAAUCUGCCCUUGGGUUCGGAAUAACAGUUAGAAAUGACUGCUAAUACCGGAUGAUGUCUUCGGACCAAAGAUUUAUCGCCCAGGGAUGAGCCCGCGUAGGAUUAGCUUGUUGGUGGGGUAAAGGCCUACCAAGGCGACGAUCCUUAGCUGGUCUGAGAGGAUGAUCAGCCGCACUGGGACUGAGACACGGCCCAGACUCCUACGGGAGGCAGCAGUGGGGAAUAUUGGACAAUGGGCGAAAGCCUGAUCCAGCAAUGCCGCGUGAGUGAUGAAGGCCUUAGGGUUGUAAAGCUCUUUUACCCGGGAUGAUAAUGACAGUACCGGGAGAAUAAGCCCCGGCUAACUCCGUG
rnacentral:rRNA from 1 species